CCGUUUCGAUCUGCUGGGGGCAGAUGAAGUGGAUGUGGGUGUCGAUCGAGCCGGCGGUGAGGAUGUGCCCUUCGCCGGCGAUCGCCUCGGUGNCNGGGCCCACGAUGAUGUCCACGCCCGCCUGGGUGUCGGGGUUGCCCGCCUUGCCGAUCGCCACGAUGCGGCCGUCGCGCAGGCCGAUGUCGGCCUUCACGAUCCCCCACCAGUCGAGGAUCANGGCGUUGGUGAUCACCGUGUCCACGGCGCCAUCGGCGCGGGUGGUCUGGGCCUGCCCCAUGCCGUCGCGG
rfam:Synechococcus sp. GFB01 Contig41, whole genome shotgun sequence.